GACGAACGCUGGCGGCGUGCUUAACACAUGCAAGUCGAACGGAAAGGCCCUGCGUUUGUUGGUUUCUCGAGUGCCGAACGGGGGAGUAACACGUGAGUAACCUGCCCUUGACUGUCGGAUAUCUUCAGGAAACUCGGGCUCUUAUCGGAGAGGAUCUCCUGCUGCAUGGUGGGGGUUGGAAAGUUUCGGCCGUUGUGGAUGGACUCGCUGCUUAUCAGCUUGUUGGUGGGGUAGUGGCUUCCCAAGGGUUUGACGGGUAGCCCGCCUGAGAGGUUGACCGGGGACCAGGGGACUGAGAGACGGACCAGAAUCCUACGGGAGGCAGCAGUGGGAAAUCUUACAGAGUGGGCGGACGCCUGAUGCAGCGACGCUGCGUGCGUGAUGCCGGGCUACGGGUUGUGAACCACUUUCGCCUGUACCGUAGAGUGAGUGACGGUACUGGGUAAAGAAGCACCGGCUAACUACGUG
rnacentral:rRNA from 1 species